rnacentral:lncRNA from 1 species
CUCUCAUUCCUGCCUUGCCCUUGAUGCUGUCACUCACUGGUUGGAAAUGCUGCCAGCUCAGCAGUGCUCCCUUUCUCCCAACAAGUGGUGGCAUUUCCCCUGUUCUUUGCACAGCUGCUCAGCGAGUGCCAACCUGCAGCUCCCAGUCAGCCAGACCUGAUUCUGCUGCUCAGGAGCAGAGCCCUACCUGCUUCCCUUGGAGCAUGGAACACCCGCCCCAGCCUCUGUUCUCACCAACACAGACAUUAUUUUAGGAGGCUGUUAAAGGUAACAAAGUGCCAAAACCUACCCUGGACCUUCUCACUUUUGCAAGGUGGGAAAAAUAUUUAAAGUGAUUGAAAAGAAGAAUAAAAAUCCCAUUUCCUGUUAUGAAAAUGGAGGAGUUAAUAUGACUGGAAACUCUUUUUGUUAUGUUGCGAAUAUUCUAUUCACAAUAUUCAAUUUGAGUACAAGUUGCACUAUUUGAGGUUCUUUGAAUAAUUCAGGUGCAUUCAUUUACUCUUGAUUAGUGGAUCAGCUUCUUCAAAAGCUGCCACAGACUCCACUUAAGCAAAUGCCAAAUCAAGCUAUAAAACCUGCAUGAAAUACAAUAUGAAUAUGUAACUUCCUCAAGUACCUGCACUUCCAGGUGCACAUGCCUAAGCACAGCUGGCUUUCCAACAGAGCAGAGAGGGAUGUGCCAGCACAGCAUCGAGAAGGGGGGAAAGAAAGAGAAGUGGAAACGCAGCAACUGCAAUCAGAUCCCGUUCCACACCACGGGAGCACAUUCUCCUCAUAGUGAAGCAAAACUUGGGGCAGAAAACAAAACAAUAUUUGCCAAUUUGGCUUUAGCGCAAAUCCAACUCUUUGUUCUUUUGCACACAUCAAAUGUGAGCCUCUCUCACCUCUGGCAGGAGCCUGGCACAGCACAAAACACACCCAGGUGCAUCCUGGCAGAAUAGGAACCUUCAUGCAAAUACUGGCUUUGGACUUGUUUGAUUUCAGCCAUCUACAAGGAAGAUAUCUUAUUUUCCAGCUUCUCUCCAUCCUCAGGUGGAAGUUCUGAAUUUUCCAAGUGAAGGAAUUACCCCUGAAUGUUCCUAUUCCCCUAUCCCCAGCUUAGAGAUUCUUUAGACAAUGAACUUUGACAAAAAAGCUCCCUAAAAUUAAGGGUGAUGCAGCUACCCUUGGCUAUUGUGUCUAAUUAGAAGUGCACAGAUAUUUUUUUCUCCCAAUAUGUAAUAGGCAAAUGUGUAUUAAUUCAUUUUUUUUGUUUGUAUUCAGCCUGCUGGGUAGAUUUCCUUUCAUUGUAAUUAGGUUCAGGUUCUCGCAUCAGAUGUUCUACAUAGAGUAAACAUUAAGAUUCCUGAAUUUUCAUUACAUCUCUUAUAUUCAAUGAAUCAUUUAUAUGCAAAUUCACUCAAAUUUUGCAGCAUAAAUCUUCAAUAUUAGUGUUUUUGUAGUCCUUUCUUUGAAUUUUAGUGGCAUAUUUUGAGGGAAUUUCAGACAAGCACUGCCAAAACAGUAAUAGGCUUCAAUAACUGCCUUUUGUAGACUGAAGUGACAGCUUUGAGGUUGGAAAAUUUUAUCUUUUCUUUAAUAUUCAGUAGUUUUACACUGACAAGAAACACAUUUUUGAGUCAAUAGGCUGAAAUCUGAUAAAAAGCAUUUAAAAACCCAAGUAGAUUGAUUGUGUGCAAUCACUGCAGGAGAGUGACUCCAGCAAACAAAAAAGGCUCAAUCUUCCCCUGCCUCACGGUGACAAUUUUGCUUUAUGGGGAAGGAGCUGUGCAGCACAUUAUCUGCAGCACAUAAGCUGCAAAUGCGACCCUUUAGAUUCUUCUUUUAUUUUUUUUUUUCCUGCAUUUAAAAGGCUUGUUUAGAAUUUCAGAGACUUGUUUUCUUUGCCAAUUUCCCCAGCAUCAUUUUUAUGAGUCAGCUCAGACAGUCUUUACUUUUCAC